UGUUUUCUGGUCUGAGCUGAUUUGAAGACCAGAAAGGACUACUGCCUGCAGUAGUUGGUAGCCUAGUUCCUGCACUGGUUCUCUGGCCAGUUUCUUGACAAGGGGGCUGAGCUGACUACCAUCCCCAGUUGUGUUUUCCCAGGAGGAAGACUGCAUUUCCCAUGAGCACCAUUACUCCCCGUAAAAUGAAGCUCUUCACAAAGCGUGCAUUUGUUGUGGCUGCAGUUACAUAAAAUACAGACCUCCUCUUCGACACCACUUUUCUUUGUUCAAGUGGACUUCCUGAAGGAUGCAGAGUGAGUGCUACAAAAACUAUUAACUUUAACGUAACAGCAACAAAACUUCCUGUAGGUCAACCCCGUCCUCUGACCAGGGUCUCAAUGCUAAGUAUGAACAUGAUGAGUCUCGAUCACAACAGAGUGUGGGACAUUCAACUUGUGAAGGCUAUCUGAAGGUCAUCCGAAAAGUUGUGACACUGAUGUUACCUGCAACCUGACUGGGUGGCAGCCCUGACAACACUGUGAAUGAUAGGACCACUGAUGGAGAGGCCAAGGUGAGGUCAAGGAUCCAAAGGAGAAAGAGCACUUCUUUUCCUUUACAGAUGGAGCUUUCAGAUAACACGCCCCAGCUUUAAGUACCUCAUCAGAGGAGGUUAUUGCUUGGUUUUGGGUUGUGUUUAAGGUACUUGGUGGGUAUUUGUUUUUUCUGUUUAUUUGUAAUAAAAAACAAAAGGUUUAACGUGA